GAUGAACGCUGGCGGCGUGCUUAACACAUGCAAGUCGAACGGUGAACACGGAGCUUGCUCUGUGGGAUCAGUGGCGAACGGGUGAGUAACACGUGAGCAACCUGCCCCUGACUCUGGGAUAAGCGCUGGAAACGGCGUCUAAUACUGGAUAUGUGACGUGAUCGCAUGGUCUGCGUCUGGAAAGAAUUUCGGUUGGGGAUGGGCUCGCGGCCUAUCAGCUUGUUGGUGAGGUAAUGGCUCACCAAGGCGUCGACGGGUAGCCGGCCUGAGAGGGUGACCGGCCACACUGGGACUGAGACACGGCCCAGACUCCUACGGGAGGCAGCAGUGGGGAAUAUUGCACAAUGGGCGCAAGCCUGAUGCAGCAACGCCGCGUGAGGGAUGACGACCUUCGGGUUGUAAACCUCUUUUAGCAGGGAAGAAGCGAAAGUGACGGUACCUGCAGAAAAAGCGCCGGCUAACUACGUG
rnacentral:rRNA from 1 species